GUUAAAUUGCCCCUCACAACACCACCUGUCGCUGAUUCCCUGCCGCAUCUUCUCAUCGCCCUCACGCCCGGCCGGCCACUCCGCCCCGCGCCGUCUGUCGCCGAAGCCCGUCACCAUCGCGUCACCAUCGCGUCCGACCACCGGCGGUCACCAACCCCCACCCCAGCGACUACUAUGCCGUCCACAAUUCGUCGCUGCCGCCCGUCACCUGCGGGCCGCGGCCAUAUAGCCGCGCAAUCCCCCAUCCCUAUAUUCCCGUCGCGCUGCCUCGCCAUCUCCAGAUCACCACGACCAUUCCUCCAGAUCAGAGCGAAGAGCUGCUCCCCAUCCUCGGCUCCUCCGUUGGGAUCGAGAAGCUAUGCGGUCAGCCUCCAACCAAGCACCGCCAGAGAGGACAGACCUGGGGCCGAGGUGGGGAGAAGAGGAGCGCAUCGCCGGUUGGCCCGUCCGUCGCUGCCCCGGGCUCCCACCUCCCGCUUUCGUGCCGACUGCCGCUACUCUUCCGGAUUGGCAGAGCCCAAGCAGGAGGCAUCGACAAAGGUGAUGAAGGUGAUGAAGGCUUCAUAUGAGGUAGUAUGUAAUAUAAAAUGCAGGCUUGCAGAGAUGCAAAUUAGGUGUUAAUUUCUUCAGGGCACCUUCUUGCAGCAGGAAUUGCUCAAAUCAGGUAAAUCAAUCCGUGGAUUUGGUUCAGCAAUCAAAAGCUCGUGAAUCUUGAAUACACUCCGCUGAGUGAACAUUAGGAGUCAUGUAUCUUGCAGCGGGUGCAGGAGCACAUGUCAAAUUCUGACAAGUACAUGUAAAACACUUGAUUAGUGUUUGCUAAUCAGUCAUGUAGAGUUAUGUAAUCUAUCCUUUUGUUUUCCUUUUACUAGGUUUUUGCGACUUAUCCUGAGAGAUGUUCCAAUUAUGAAUAAGUUCAUGAUUUAAAAUUGCCCUGAUGUAUGGGAACUACUAUAGAAGACAUUCCAAUUGUGAAUAAGUUCUUGAUUUAAAACUGAUCUGAUGUAUGGGAACUACUAUAGAAGUGUGGAUUAAUUAAAAUUAUUGGCAA